CACAUGUAAAACAAUCUUGUUUCUAAUACAAAAAAAAAAAAAAACAAAACAAAAAAAGAGGACCUUCCUGUGAGAAACUGAAAGAAAAACAGUAAAAACAAAACAAAGUCCCUUAAACCUUACACUUGUCUGCUUAUUCACUGUGAAGAGAUUGGGGGGAAUUUUUUGUUGUUACCAGUUGCAUUUCUUUUCUUUACUUUUUUUGUUGUUUUGAGACAGGGUUUCUCUGUGUAGCCCUGGCUGUCCUGGAGUUCUCUCUAUAAGCCAGGCUGGUUUCGAAAUCACAGAGAUCUGCCAACUUCUGCCUUCCAAGAGCUAGGAUCAAAGGGAACUCAUUGGUGCUGAGAUGACAGGUAUGGACCACCACAUAGGGCUUCUGCAUGGCUACUAGGGAUCGGAACUCAGGUUCUCAUGCUUGCAUAGCAAGCAGUUUAUCCAUCGGGACGUCUCCCCAGCAUUUGUGCCAUCUCCGUGCAUGACCAGUUUUUGCUUCUGCAUGGAGCAGAUGACUUGAGCAGCCUUCAUCCAGCAGCUGGUGGAAGUAGAAGCAGACACCCACAACUAAUCACCGAACU